AAACAAGAGUCAGAGGUCAGCACGGCCCGGGCGCACGCCCGGCCAGCAGAAGGCACCUCACGGCCGCUGUCUCCAAACCCAGCCUUGACUCCCCCCGGGCCGCGCCGUCUGUGCAUCCUCCAGUCGCCCGUGGACGAGGAUGCACAGCAUCGGGCCGGGGCGCAGGCGCUGACCGCAGUGAGCGACUCACACCCCCAGCUACGAGACCCCAAGGGGACCAGGAAGGGCCAGAAAGGCACAGCUGCGCAGGGGAGAGAGGGCAGGCAGGGACCUUGGGAGGACUGCAGCAGCUGCACAGACGACACCUCGGCCCUUGGUCCGCAGUGUGACCACAGCUCGGCACCCAAGAGCCGCUGCCAUCGCCCACGACUCCCGCCAACAACAGGGAGUCACCUCCCUGGACCUCGGUGUCCUUCUCUCAAUAUCCACCAGUAAAAGCCAUCUGGUCUCCUGCGCUGGCCCCAAGCGUUGAAAUGGGGCCAUGCAUUUAAGAGACUUCACCCCCAACCCAGCGGCCAUCCAGGGAGCCCUGGUCAUGCGCUAACGGAGGCUCCACUUGUGAUGCACGGGACAGCGGUCUGCAUGGCCGCCAGUGCGGUUCAGGAUUCCCCAGAUCCAACCCACCUGACCGCUCUCCUGCCCUUCUGGACUCAGCGCCCGAGUCCUCUCGGGGCCUCAGCCUCCCAUCUCCCAGCUGGGGCCUUUCCCGGGCUCUCUGCAGUGAGGCCAAGGAGGUCCCCCUCUAGCGCCCAGUAGCUCCUGCUGACCGACUCCACUACAGGAAAAUGGUAAAAUCCAAUUCCCUGAAGGCACCGCAGAGGGCCGCCGCGGCCUGGGAGCCAGACAAGGAAGGAUCUUUCUCAGUUGCUGAGGCUGGCCUCAAACUUCCCAUCCUCCUGCCUCAGCCUCUGGAGCCGCUGGGAUCACCGACGUGUGUCAGGCUGCCCGUGGGCUCCGUGGGAGGAGUGCGAUUUGAGGAGCUCUCGAGUGUGAGCAGGUGACUGUAGAAAACCACACCCAGGCUCAUAACCGCCAACUGCUAAGGAAUGGAGGCCCCAGGAAACUGGAGAAAGCAGCUACUCUGAGACCGUGUGUCACCCGCAGAGAGACUCGCCGUGGGAAUGGCGCUGGGGGGGGAGUCCCAGGGACUCAGCGGGGCGCUGUGUUUCAUCACCAGCUCAGCCGGGGGACCUGGUCAGCACGUUGCUGCUCCUGACUUCCUGUUCGCCUAAAGUGUGGAUGGUCGGUCAUAAGAUCAUCGACAUCCGUCUUAGGUCUUCAUCUGGAGAAGUCAAAGCUCCCAGGCUUGGGGACCCCGGUGAGGACGCCGCGAUGUAACACAAACAAGGUCAGAAGCCACGUCCCCAGUGGAGCAGCCGCCCAACGCCCAUCACCCCACGUCACCCGGUGCACGUCACCCGCCUCACCGUCCAGAAGCCACCCGGGGUGUGAGGUCAGGGGACCUGGGCAGGAACUGGGGACCUGGCAGCCUGUGGGUUGGGAAAAGGAGAAGAGGGUGGGGACGCGGCCCGCGCCAGGUGGCCACUUCCUCCUGAGACGCAGAGGAGACCCGCUGCCGCGUGGGCAGGUGGGCAGGUGGCCGGCCUGUGACGGCUCAGGUGGCCCGCGGACAGGGCACGUGCUGAGCCCCAGCCUGACUCACCCUGGCCACCCACGGGGACGCGGCGGCCACCUUUCUCCCUGGGUUUUCCCCGAGGCACGCGGAGGACAACGGGUGGGGACAGUGAGGUGUUCGCAGAAGGAGGGGACGACCUGCUGCAGGUCGCGUCAGCCACAGGUGGGUCAGGAGACCGGGCCUGGGGGACGCCGGAACAGUGCCACCGUCACUGUCUUCUCCCACCCACUGCCACCGUCACCGUCACGGCCACAGCCACCCUGAUCACCUCCAUCAUCGCCGCCGCGGUUCCCACCACCUCCCCACCAUCCCCCAAGACUGGCUGCUCCUGCCACCUCCAUCACGGUCACCACCGCCCUCGCUGUCCCCAUCGCCCCGUCUCCAUGCCUCUGUGUGCUGAACGCGGUCCCCACCACUGUGUCCCCACCACCCCGGCUCCUGGCCCACCCACCGCACCUCGGUGCCCUCCCAGCAGCCCACGGGGGUCCACCUGGUCCAUCCUGACGCGUGAAGCUGGGGAAGAUUCAAAACCCAAGCCGUGACCCGCCCGUCACUCCCAACACUCCACACGGGGUGCGGGUACCACCGGGGACACGGGUUGGGACCCAGUAUGGAAAUACCACUGUUUCUCCCAGCAGCUCAGUUCUGAAGACAGAGAGAGACUCUGCCCAUCCUCUACCCGAGGCUCAGAGACAUCGAGUGUCCUGCUGAAGGUCACACAGCCAGUAACUGCCAGCAUCAGGCAGAAGAGGGUCUACAUCAAACACACACCCCCCGGGUCACACGCCCAGCCUCCGCCCUGGUCACAGAGCAGGGGAGGCAGGGCUUUUGCACACUAUCCAGGUGUGGGAGCCGUGGAGACGCCACUGGACCCCCCUGGUCAGCAGACACGGCCGAGACCCCAGGCGGCCAUGGCUGGGCAGUGUGGGUCUCCUGUGGGAGAUCCCUGCCCCGGGUUCUCAGUGCCCUGGCGGAGGCUUCUCAGAGCCGCACCCCAGAGCCUCCCUGGGAGCCCUCUCUCCCAGCGUCCGGCCGCCUGCUCUCCCUCGGUCUCUGCCUCCCACUUCUUUCAAAGGCAUUGUCCCCCGAGUCUCCCGGGCCCCAGAUCCCAGCCGGGGACUCUCCCCUUCCCGGCCUUGAGCCUGGACUUUGGGCCAACGCCCUUCAACCCUGUGGAGGAGCGUUGGCCACUGUAGCUGGACCCCGCUGUGAGUCAACGCCACGCUGACCCCCACCCGGGGGCUGGCCCUGGCACCCAUGUGGGGUCCCCGUCCACUGUGGACAGUGGGAGCAGGCCUCGAUGUCCUCCUCUCUGAGGAUCACGGCAGCCCUAUGGCUGGGCACCUAAGGGGCACCCGGCGAGGGCGUCGCUCUAGGGAGUGUGGCCUGAGAGGGACAGCGUGACAAGCACUGGGGACGCAGGUGUGGGCCAAAUCAAGGUGACGGUCCCACUGUCCCGGAACUUUGUCUUCUUAAAGCCGAAUCCAAAUCUCUCCGAGAUCCUCAAGAGAAGGUCACGCAAACAAGAUGAGCGCGACUCUGAGAAGGGGAAACGGAGGCCGGGCCACGGUGUCCUUCAGGGGGAACCGACUGGGUUCAAGGGAAGCAGGAAGCCCGGGCAGGGCGGUGGGUGCCCAGCGCUGGCCGUGGGCUGUCUCUCUGGGAACGCCGGACAGCGACUCAGCGAGCCAAGGUCAAGGGCAUCUUGCUCUCUCUUACAAAGUGUCAUGAUUCCACGUCCAAUG